rnacentral:rRNA from 1 species
GACGAACGCUGGCGGCGUGCCUAAUACAUGCAAGUAGGACGCACAGUUUAUACCGUAGCUUGCUACACCAUAGACUGUGAGUUGCGAACGGGUGAGUAACGCGUAGGUAACCUGCCUGGUAGCGGGGGAUAACUAUUGGAAACGAUAGCUAAUACCGCAUAAUAUUAAUUAUUGCAUGAUAAUUGAUUGAAAGAUGCAACUGCAUCACUACCAGAUGGACCUGCGUUGUAUUAGCUAGUAGGUGAGGUAACGGCUCACCUAGGCGACGAUACAUAGCCGACCUGAGAGGGUGAUCGGCCACACUGGGACUGAGACACGGCCCAGACUCCUACGGGAGGCAGCAGUAGGGAAUCUUCGGCAAUGGACGAAAGUCUGACCGAGCAACGCCGCGUGAGUGAAGAAGGUUUUCGGAUCGUAAAGCUCUGUUGUAAGAGAAGAACGGGUGUGAGAGUGGAAAGUUCACACUGUGACGGUAUCUGACCAGAAAGGGACGGCUAACUACGUG